GGGAGCCAUGCUGUCCCCAUAGCCCAUAAAUAUUCUGACAGGGAGUCAGAGACAUCUGUAGAACUCUGUUUUGUUUAGUUCCAGACAAUUUGAGGUUGGCUACAGAAAUUCCUGCAGCAAACACAUCGCAGUUGAGAAAGAGCUCAUGGUACCAUGCUUCUUCAGUCUGAAACAGAAGAUCUUCUAGCAUUAUGGGUAAAAAUGAGCUCACUGUGCAGCAGCCAGCUGGCGAGCUGUGAGCACAGACAUGCACCACCACUUUCAGUGCUCUGCAGCUGGGACAGGAGGAUCGCUGGGACUUUCUGAAUGCCAGCCUGGCUCUAAUCUGACCGCGGAGAAGCUCCUGCUUGUGUCAGGAAGAAACAAGCACACCGACUUUACUCUAGUGCUUUAGGACACUGACAAACUGGGAAGGAUGUGAUGUCCCUUCAUGAGAGACGGGAACGUUUCUCAGCGGAGUGCAGGGUGGGCGAAACUUAGAAGAGCAUUCCAAGCACGGGCUGGGAGACAAAGACAGGAGAAGAACGAUACACAUGCAAACAGGGAACAAUCCUCACAGGCCUUGCUGAUAACCUUCCUGCUUAUUGACCUUAGUCUGAUUGGUAAGCAAUACAAUCUGCACCAGCAUGCAUGCUGUUCCUGGCUCCAGCGUAAGGUGAGUUGGGUUUGUUAUGGACCUGUUCUCACCCAUGAUCUGUGAGAAGUAACGUAAGCCCCACUGGAGGCCACACCCCUAAUUUCCAGACCCUAAAACGCACUUCGCUUUACUGUGAACAUUGUAUGAGUCUGAAAGAUAGUGAUGAACAGUGCCUGCCACCAUGUGAAAGGCUCGAUAGUAUGGGGAAAUCCAAAUCUUGACUUCUGUAUGACGCUGGGCCGUUUCUUGUCAUUACCACAUGUAUGCAGGGCCCGCAGAUGUCAGAAGAGGACAUUGGAUCCCCUGGAACUGAGGUUAUUGACAGUUAGGAGACAUCAUAUGGAUGCUGGGCCGUGAACUCCUCUAUUCUGAGUGAUACACCAACAUUGCCAUCACUACCUUCUGAUCCCCUUCCCUUCUGACCCCCACUAUUCUACCCUGUUGAACCCUGCCACCCUCACUGCUGCCAGCAACAGUUCUAAGUCAACAGCUCCCUCUCCUAAGAGUCUAAAGAAAAUGUCAGAAGUACCAGACCAUCUGAGGGCAGAUGUCGCUCUCAGUCCAAAUGUCUGACACUUUCUGCUCAGCAGGCUCUGAAGAAAUCCUUAUCGCCUGAAUGCCCUUCUGUUUCCCUGCACCUAGAGGACUCUACUUGUCCUUCACAGACCAGCACGGGGACCAGCUCCUCCCGGAAGUCUCCCACGGUCUGCUUUUCCUACUACUCCCGUCUGGUGUGAGAGUUCUCUGAGCGUCACCUGAAAGUCAGCUGCUUUCCUAGAGUGCUAGUUUCUUAGCGUUCUCCCCUCCUUAACCUCUUGUUUAUGGAGGGCCGGAGGGCCAGAGGGCCCAGGAGGUGCCUGCUGCUAACCUUUGGGGCUGUAACUGGUAACAGAGUGAGCAGAUGUUCAUUAUUUUAGGUGCGAAUGAAGAAGCUUAUUGAUCAAUCACUGGUCAUAUCAGUCAUCACCUUUUAUAUAUAUACAUAGAACCGAGCAAAAGUAAACUGAUCACUUAAUUGAGCAAUUUAAAAUUAGAAUCUUAAAUGUUUGCACUGAGUUUGCAUUUUGCGGUGGUGUGCCUGCGGAGGAGGGAGAUGGCCAGAGCAGGACAUUAGGUGUCUUCUUCUAUUUCUUUUCCUUACUUCCUGGAGGCAGGGUCUCUCACUGAACUGAAGCUUACCAUUUUGACUGUUUUGGCCGAGCAGUGAGCUGUGACUUCCGAUGCUGGGGUUACAAACAUGUGCUGCUAUGCUCAGCUCUUCGUGUGAGUGCUGUGAUUUGAACCCAGGUCCUUACGCCUGCAUAGCAAGUGCUCUACCCAGCCCCUUAGAUUUUUGAUGAGAAAAUAUUUCAAAUUCUGUUUUUCUGUGAUAGAAUUGUGGGAUUUUUUCCCUUAACAUUAUUUACCCCACACUGCUUUUUAAAAUGUAGUUUCUUACUCUAAAGGGGGAAAUGGUAAAUUUAUUUUUCAGAUUGAUACCAGUCAUUUAACUCUAAGCAGCAGGGUCACAGAUAGCUAUUCUACUCCAGUAGUAUCAGAGCAGCCACAGAUGGGUAACUGCAUAGCUGUGUGACAAUAAAACUUUAUUCAUAAACACAGGAGACCAGUUUCAGAGUAUAAAACAAAGGGUCAGAGCAAGCAAAGUGCAUGUGUUUUAAAAUAACAGAGACCACCAAAUGCUUGAUGCAGCCUUGUCCUGGGGAACACAUGGCUUUUUUUUUGUUUGUUUGUUUGUUUGUUUCAAUCAAGCCAGGGAGGCACAAAACACAAGUGUUAGCACUCUGGAUCAUCAUAGAGAAAUGAGCUCAGAAAUCUGACUACAAGAUGCCUAUGGCUUUCUAUAUUUUUGUAUUAGGUUAAAAGAACAUGGGACUGCCGCUGAAAACACUUCAAAUACCCUACAUCUAACCCAUACACGAAGGAAUUCUUGCCUUCUUUCUUAAUAAACAUUUACUCACUGAAGAUGGGAACUUAAUUUCCAUAUAGCUUGUCUCGGGUAUAAAACCAAUAGCAAUACUGUCAGUGACCUUUUAUCCCAGACACUCCGAGCUCAGUGCUAAGGUUUUAUAAAAAAACAAGAACCUGCCUUUAUUAAGUAUUUUCUUAUGCCUGCAAAGUGUCAAGUGCUUUAUGAAUAUAUCUCCCGAGUUUCCCCCCUGAUCCCACACCGCAGUUAUAGUGCUUCCUUGUUACCCAAGAGGAAAUGAGGUUCAGAGAGGGGAAGUAAUUUGUACAAGGUCAGGCUUGGUCAAGUGAAGCCUGCAGACUCUUCAAGUCCUGAGCGCUGUGCCUUCUCUUCUGUGCCAGCUGCCUGUCCCAGAGGAGCUGAUCCAGCCACUUCUAGUCAUAAAUACCCCAGAUUCAGUUCAAGUUGCGUCCUGUUGGAGGCAAUGACUCCAUUCACGGUUUAUAGGAAAUUCUACCUUGGGGACCCUGGCGAGGCGAAAAUCUAACCCCAAGUAACAAACGGAGGGCUUUGUUAGAGCAUGCCACAGUUCACAAAAAGCAACAAGAGUUGAUCUUUUGUCAACAAUAUUCCUUCAUCACGUUCUAACUCACACAAGUGAGAUAAUUAAUUACCACAAUGCAUCCCAUCCAGGAGGGGUAUGAGCAGGACAGGCAAGCAGCUGAAGAAUGAGCUUUGAGGAUUUUGCCUAAAUGAUCAAGUUUUGUACCUGACAAAAAUCAAACGUAAGUCUUCGCUUAUACAGUGGGUCUUUGUCAAACAGUCUCAGGGGACCGCUCUUUCUGCUGUGUACUUAGCCCCAUUACUACAAAAAUGCCUUAUAGUAAAUACCGUCAUUAUUCAUAGUUGGUUGGCAAAUUAAAUCACUUGCUGUUCCAGCAUCUAGAAGUGGAGGAAGUGUUCAAUUCCAAA